rnacentral:rRNA from 1 species
AGAGUUUGAUCCUGGCUCAGAACGAACGCUGGCGGCGUGGAUUAGGCAUGCAAGUCGAACGAUGGUUGGAGCAAUCCAGCCAUAGUGGCAAAAGGGCGAGUAACACGUGGGUAACCUACCUCCGAAACCGGGAUAACUUUGCGAAAGCGAGGCUAAUACCGGAUAAGACCACGUUUCAUAAGAAAUGUGGUAAAAGGAAGCCUCUAUUUAUAAGCUACCAUUUGGAGAGGGGCCUGCGUCCUAUCAGCUAGUUGGUGAGGUAACGGCUCACCAAGGCAAUUGACGGGUAGCUGGUCUGAGAGGAUGGUCAGCCGCACUGGGACUGAGACACUGCCCAGACUCCUACGGGAGGCUGCAGUCGAGAAUCUUUAGCAAUGCCCGAAAGGGUGACUAUGCGACGCCGCGUGAGCGAUGAAGGUCUUCGGAUUGUAAAGCUCUGUCGUGCGGGAUGAAUAUCACAAGCUUAACAAGCAAGUGAAAUGACAGUACCGCAAGAGGAAGCCACGGCUAACUCCGUGCCAGCAGCCGCGGUAAUACGGAGGUGGCAAGCGUUGUUCGGAUUUAUUGGGUGUAAAGGGCAUGUAGGUGUCCUGGUAAGUUCUGGUUGAAAUCCUUCAGCUCAACUGAAGAACGUGUCAGAAAACUGCCAGGAUUGAGUACAGGAGAGGAGAACGGAAUUCCCGGUGUAAGGGUGAAAUCUGUAGAUAUCGGGAAGAACACCAGUGGCGAAGGCGGUUCUCUAGACUGUGACUGACACUGAAAUGCGAAAGCUAGGGGAGCAAACAGGAUUAGAUACCCUGGUAGUCCUAGCCGUAAACGAUGGGCACUAGGUGUGGGCUCGCAAGGGUCCGUGCCGCAGUUAACACAUUAAGUGCCCCACCUGGGGACUACGGCCGCAAGGUUGAAACUCAAAGAAAUUGACGGGGACCCGCACAAGCGGUGGAGCAUGUGGUUUAAUACGACGCUACGCGUGGAACCUUACCAGGAUUUGACAUGCACUUGAAAUUCUGAUGAAAGUCAGAACCUCCCUCAAAGACAGGUGCACAGGUGUUGCAUGGCUGUCGUCAGCUCGUGUCGUGAGAUGUUGGGUUAAGUCCCGCAACGAGCGCAACCAUUGUCCUUAGUUGCUAACCAGUAAUGGUGCACUCUAGGGAGACCGCCGGUGUUUAACCGGAGGAAGGUGGAGAUGACGUCAAGUCAGUACGGCCCUUAUAUCCUGGGCUACACACGUGCUACAAUGGUCGGUACAAAGAGUUGCAAAUCCGCGAGGAUAAGCUAAUCUCAAAAAGCCGGCCCCAGUUCAGAUUGAAGGCUGAAAUUCGCCUUCAUGAAGCCGGAAUCGCUAGUAACCGCGCAUCAGCUACGGCGCAGUGAAUACGUUCCCGGGUCUUGCACACACCGCCCGU